rnacentral:lncRNA from 1 species
GGAAAUGAUCACUUGGAUAGAUGCUGCUGAACUUAACAGGGCUGGAGGGAAGAGGGAAUGAGCAUCACUACCAAAUUGUUGCCUGCUUUGAAGGCCUCAGUCGGUCACAUCCUCCUUGCACAAUUUCAGCUCUAAACAGAGGGAGAGAAAUCACCAAGCAGAAGAUGUUUUGGCUCUUUUUCAAUAUAUCCACAAAAAAGGAUGGGAAAUAG